rnacentral:rRNA from 1 species
CCCUUAGAUGUUCUGGGCUGCACGCGCGCUACACUGACGUACGCAACGAGUGUCCUUUACCGAGAGGUAUGGGUAAUCAUUUGAGUGUACGUCGUGAUGGGGAUAGAAUAUUGUAAUUAUUACUCUUCAACGAGGAAUUCCUAGUAAGCGCAAGUCAGCAGCUUGCGCUGAUUACGUCCCUGCCCUUUGUACACACCGCCCGUCGCUCCUACCGAUGGGUGAUCCGGUGAAUGAUUCGGACUCGGUUGCCUCUAGCCACUAGUGGCGCUCGAGAAAGUUUUGUGAACCUGAUCACUUGGAGGAAGGAGAAGUCGUAACA